rnacentral:rRNA from 1 species
GACGAACGCUGGCGGCGUGCUUAACACAUGCAAGUCGAACGGAAAGGCCCUGCUUGCAGGGUACUCGAGUGGCGAACGGGUGAGUAACACGUGGGUGAUCUGCCCUGCACUUCGGGAUAAGCCUGGGAAACUGGGUCUAAUACCGGAUAGGAGCCAUUUUUAGUGUGAUGGUUGGAAAGUUUUUUCGGUGUAGGAUGAGCUCGCGGCCUAUCAGCUUGUUGGUGGGGUAAUGGCCUACCAAGGCGGCGACGGGUAGCCGGCCUGAGAGGGUGGACGGCCACAUUGGGACUGAGAUACGGCCCAGACUCCUACGGGAGGCAGCAGUGGGGAAUAUUGCACAAUGGGCGCAAGCCUGAUGCAGCGACGCCGCGUGGGGGAUGACGGCCUUCGGGUUGCAAACUCCUUUCGCUAGGGACGAAGCUUUUGUGACGGUACCUAGAUAAGAAGCACCGGCUAACUACGUG